GCGCACCAGUCGCGAAACCUUCGCAAUGCGGGAAACCGCGACGAGGGGACUCCCAGUGCCUACGCUCAGCGUAGGCUGUUCCCGAGCCUAGAAAGCUCGGGGAGUAAGGGCUGGGUAAGACGGGUGCCAGCCGCCGCGGUAAUACCCGCAGCCCGAGUGGUGGCCACUAUUAUUGGGCCUAAAGCGUCCGUAGCCGGCCCGGUAAAUGCCUGGGUAAAUCGUGAGGCCUAACCUCACGAAUUCCGGGUAGACUGCCGGGCUAGGGGACCGGAGGAGGGAGAGGGGUACUCCAGGGGUAGGGGUGAAAUCCUGUAAUCCCUGGAGGACCACCGGCGGCGAAGGCGCUCUCCCAGGACGGGUCCGACGGUGAGGGACGAAAGCCAGGGGAGCGAACCGGAUUAGAUACCCGCGUAGU
rnacentral:rRNA from 1 species